CCCUUAGAUGUUCUGGGCCGCACGCGCGCUACACUGAUGCAUUCAACGAGUUUCUUCCUGGUCCGAGAGGAAUGGGUAACCUUUUGAAAGUGCAUCGUGAUAGGGAUAGACUAUUGCAAUUAUUGGUCUUCAACGAGGAAUUCCUAGUAGACGUAGUUCAUCAGACUGCAUCGAUUACGUCCCUGCCCUUUGUACACACCGCCCGUCGCUCCUACCGAUUGAAUGCUCAGGUGAGCCAUUCGGACUUUCAUCAUGCUGGUCUCCAGUUUUGAUGAAGGAAAGUCUUGCGAACCUUAUCAUUUAGAGGAAGGAGAAGUCGUAACA
rnacentral:rRNA from 1 species